CUACCCGAGAGAUGAGACGCGUGCCGUUUCCAUGGGAACCAUGCGCCUCACUCGACACUGUACCUGGAACGCAGGUACACGUACAGUCGGUGUUGAACGGUUAUAAGGAAUAUCUGCAGAUGUUACUUGGAAACAUGCAAAUAAGUGUUUUCUGAUGCAUCUCUGUAAGGAAAAGGAGCAACUGAAGGUCCUCCAGACUGCCGAUCUGACCUUGUCUCCCACGUGCAUGCGGGUGGACAAAAAGACAGCGCUGCUGUAAGGGUACGCGGAAGCGCCCAUAUGGAGUCCCCGCAGUGUGUGCACGUGCCGCCUGGUGGGUAUGUGGAUAUGUGGAAGUCGGCAACCUUCCUACCCACUUUGCAUCCAUGUGCUCAAUCCGCAGGAACUGCCUUCCCACAUUCAGGCUUCCCCACACCAUGUACACCGGACAGUCUCUGUGAUCGGGUAAUGUUUGGGGUUCUGGGCACUUUUUGGAGAACAUAUAAAAUGCAAGGGUUCCAAGAG